GAUGAACGCUGGCGGCGUGCCUAAUACAUGCAAGUCGAACGAACGGACGAGACGCUUUCUUCUCUGAUGUUAGCGGCGGACGGGUGAGUAACACGUGGAUAACCUACCUAUAAUACUGGGAUAACAUCGGGAAUCCGGAGCUAAUACCGGAUGAUAUUCUGAACCGCAUGGUUCAAAAGUUUACGACGGGCUUGCUGUCCCUUAUAGAUGGGUCCGUGCUGCAUUAGCUAGUUGGUAAGGUAACGGCUUACCAAGGCAACGAUGCAUAGCCGACCUGAGAGGGUGAUCGGCCACCCUGGAACUGAGACACGGUCCAGAGUCCUACGGGAGGCAGCAGUAGGGAAUCGUCCGCAAUGGGCGAAAGCCUGACAGAGCAACGCCGCGUGAGUGAUGAAGGUCUUCGGAUCGUAAAGCCCUGUUAUUAGGGAAGAACAUAUGUGUAAGUAAACGAGGACAUCGUGACGGUACCUAAACAGAAAGCACCGGCUAACUACGUG
rnacentral:rRNA from 1 species